rnacentral:rRNA from 1 species
UGGGGAACAUUGCACAAUGGGCGCAAGCCUGAUGCAGCCAUGCCGCGUGUAUGAAGAAGGCCUUCGGGUUGUAAAGUACUUUCAGCGGGGAGGAAGGGAGUAAAGUUAAUACCUUUGCUCAUUGACGCUACCCGCAGAAGAAGCACCGGCUAACUCCGUGCCAGCAGCCGCGGUAAUACGGAGGGUGCAAGCGUUAAUCGGAAUUACUGGGCGUAAAGCGCACGCAGGCGGUCUGUCAAGUCGGAUGUGAAAUCCCCGGGCUCAACCUGAGAACUGCAUUCGAAACUGGCAGGCUAGAGGCUUGUAGAGGGGGGUAGAAUUCCAGGUGUAGCGGUGAAAUGCGUAGAGAUCUGGAGGAAUACCGAUGGCGAAGGCGGCCCCCUGGACAAAGACUGACGCUCAGGUGCGAAAGCGUGGGGAGCGAACAGG